GCUGUUUGGUGAUGAGACCUGGAAUGAGCGCCGGGCACGGUGCCCGAAUCCCCCUGUGGAAUCAUUCCCUGUUGCCUUCAUUCUGAGAACAGC
ensembl:snoRNA SNORD83B small nucleolar RNA, C/D box 83B